UGCUUGUCAACUUUGAAAUCCUUGACUGA
rnacentral:piRNA from 1 species